rnacentral:tRNA from 1 species
GCGAGAGUGGCGGAAUGGCAGACGCACCAGAUUUAGGAUCUGGCGCCUUCGGGCGUGGGGGUUCAAGUCCCUUCUCUCGCA